rnacentral:rRNA from 1 species
CACGUAGGCGGAAAGUUAAGUGUCUUGUGAAAUCCCCCGGCUUAACCGGGGAACUGCAGGGCAUACUGGCUUUCUUGAGGCAAGUAGGGGUACAUGGAACUCUGGGUGGAGCGGUGAAAUGCGUAGAUAUCCAGAGGAACGCCAGCGGAGAAAUCGGUGUACUGGGCUUGUUCUGACGCUGAGGUGCGAAAGCGUGGGUAGCGAACAGGAUUAGAUACCCUGGUAGUCC